rnacentral:rRNA from 1 species
UACGUAGGUGGCAAGCGUUGUCCGGAAUUAUUGGGCGUAAAGCGCGCGCAGGCGGUCCUUUAAGUCUGAUGUGAAAGCCCACGGCUCAACCGUGGAAGGUCAUUGGAAACUGGGGGACUUGAGUACAGAAGAGGAAAGCGGAAUUCCACGUGUAGCGGUGAAAUGCGUAGAGAUGUGGAGGAACACCAGUGGCGAAGGCGGCUUUCUGGUCUGUAACUGACGCUGAGGCGCGAAAGCGCGGGGAGCAAACAGG